rnacentral:tRNA from 1 species
GGAGAGGUGUCCGAGUGGUUUAAGGAGCACGCCUGGAAAGUGUGUAUACGUUAAUAGCGUAUCGAGGGUUCGAAUCCCUCUCUCUCCGCCA